UGAGCUACUGAAGGAAGGAACAACUGCAGGAACAAACAGAGGAAAAGAGAAGAAAAACUGGCUGAGGCACCACGGUAUCCAGACAGGGCACUGCUGGAAGGACUCCAGGAUGAAACACCACUCAAAAUGAGAUAAGAUGGUCCUGUCAACAAAAGAAGGAUGACAUAAGGUGCCAAUUCAAAUCAGCAGUUAAAAUGGCGGGAGGCUUGACAUUCGCAGAACGUA